GUAGUCAUAUGCUUGUCUCAAAGAUUAAGCCAUGCAUGUCUAAGUAUAAGCAAUUAUACCGUGAAACUGCGAAUGGCUCAUUAAAUCAGUUAUCGUUUAUUUGAUAGUACCUUACUACUUGGAUAACCGUGGUAAUUCUAGAGCUAAUACAUGCUGAAAACCCCAACUUCGGAAGGGGUGUAUUUAUUAGACAAAAAACCAAUGCCCUUCGGGGCUCCUUGGUGAUUCAUAAUAACUUCUCAGAUCGCAUGGCCUUGCGCCGGCGACGGUUCAUUCAAAUUUCUGCCCUAUCAACUUUCGAUGGUAAGGUAUUGGCUUACCAUGGUUUCAACGGGUAACGGGGAAUUAGGGUUCGAUUCCGGAGAGGGAGCCUGAGAAACGGCUACCACAUCCAAGGAAGGCAGCAGGCGCGCAAAUUACCCAAUCCCGACACGGGGAGGUAGUGACAAUAAAUACUGAUACAGGGCUCUUUUGGGUCUUGUAAUUGGAAUGAGUACAAUUUAAACCCCUUAACGAGGAACAAUUGGAGGGCAAGUCUGGUGCCAGCAGCC
rnacentral:rRNA from 1 species